ACCAUCAACAAUGUCUGCGCAGGAAGCUGAAUUACAAGCCCUAACUUCAGCAUGCAAGAUAUCUGAAGAAAAGCGCGCCAAUAUCUACACAGAUUCAAGAUAUGCACUGGGCGUGGCUCACGACUUCGGAUUAAUUUGGAAAACAAGAGGAUUUCUUACCACCGCCGGUACACCAAUCAAGCACGGUUCCGCAAUCAAGGAGCUGAU